UGAAGUGGGUCCAUGGCUCAGUGGUAAAGUAUCUGUUUUGCAUACAGUAUGUCCCAGGUUCAAUUCCCAGCACCUCCA
rnacentral:tRNA from 1 species